AACGAACGCUGGCGGCAGGCGUAAUACAUGCAAGUCGAACGCCCCGCAAGGGGAGUGGCAGACGGGGGAGUAACGCGUGGGAACGUACCCUUUACUACGGAAUAACUCAGGGAAACUUGUGCUAAUACCGUAUGUGCCCUUCGGGGGAAAGAUUUAUCGGUAAAGGAUCGGCCCGCGUUGGAUUAGCUAGUUGGUGGGGUAAAGGCCUACCAAGGCGACGAUCCAUAGCUGGUCUGAGAGGAGGAUCAGCCACAUUGGGACUGAGACACCGCCCAAACUCCUUCGGGGGGCGGCAGUGGGGGAUAUUGGACAAUGGGCGCGAGUCUGAUCCAGCCAUGCCGCGUGAGUGAUGAAGGCCCUAGGGUUGUAAAGCUCUUUCACCGGUGAAUAUAAUGACGGUAACCGGAGAAGAAGCCCCGGCUAACUUCGUGCCAGCCGCCGCUGUAAAAC
rnacentral:rRNA from 1 species